GACAUCUCGUCCGAUCUGUCAAGUUAAGCAACGUUGGGCCUGGUUAGUACUUGGAUCGGAGACGGCCUGGGAAUCCCAGGUGUUGUAGACA
rnacentral:rRNA from 1 species